GCUGCGGUUGUCAAGGACUCCGAGCGGUCCGGUGCGGUCGGGGCGGGGUGUCCUCUGCUCCCACGGGUGCCGGACUUGGGAAUUUCCGGAAGCAAGGAUCAGGAGGAAUCACCAAGAACAGGUUCUUUUUCCAGAGUGUCCUCGGAGAUGGCCACAGCCUCGGCCCCGCGCCCCGGGGAGUCGCCGGAGUGCUCCGUGGCCGGGAGAGCAGCCCAGGAGGCCGGCGGGAGGAGGCGGCGGCCAGCCCCGGGCGCUGGCGGGGCCGAGGCUGCCCCGCCGGGGGAACUCUCCCGCCGGCGCUUCCGGCACUUCAGCUACCGGGAGGCCCCGGGGCCCCGCCAGGCGCUGGGGCGGCUCCGCGAGCUCUGCCGGCGCUGGCUGCGCCCCGACGUGCUCAGCAAGGAGCAGAUGCUGGAGCUGCUGGUGCUGGAGCAGUUCCUCGCCAUCCUGCCCGCCGAGCUGCAGGCCCGGGUGCGGGCGCGGCGCCCGGGCAGCGGGGAGGAGGCCGUGGCCGCGCUGGAGGCCUGGGAGCGGGAGCUGGAGGAGCCCGGCGAGCAGGGCGAGCAGGCCCCAGCCCGUGCUCGUGAGCGGGAGGCGUCUGAGCAGGAGAGGGGGACAGCGGCCCAGGAGCUGCCCAGCGGCCGACCCCGCGCCCUGGGGGAGCAGCAGCAGCAGGCGGCGCACCCGGUGCAGAGGAGGGAUGAUGAGACACAGACUUGGGAUGUGGAGUUAGCCCGGGAAAAGAAACUUCCUAAAGAAACUCCAUCUCCUUUGGAAGCACCUAGACAACUGAAUGGCCACAUUAUUCAGCUGCCCAAAAGUGGAGACAUCUGCAGCCAUGAGGGACGAUCGGAAAGACAACGGGUCAGCUCGACGGCGGAGAGGCCCUAUAUCUGUGGGGAAUGUGGGAAAAGCUUCACUCAGAAUUCCAUCCUUAUUGAGCACCAGAGAACUCACACGGGUGAGAAGCCCUACGGGUGUGAGGAGUGCGGGCGGGCCUUCAGCCAACGGUCAGGCCUGUUCCAGCACCAGAGACUCCACACGGGGGAGAAGCGCUACCAGUGCCGAGUCUGUGGCAAAGCCUUCAGCCAGAAUGCUGGCCUGUUCCACCACCUCAGGGUCCACACCGGAGAGAAGCCGUACCAGUGUGGUCAGUGCCACAAGAGUUUCAGCCGGAGAUCGGUCCUCAUGAAACACCAACGAAUUCACACGGGAGAGAGACCUUUCGCGUGUGAAGAAUGUGGCAAGAACUUCAUCUACCACUGCAACCUCAUCCAGCACCGGAAGGUCCAUGCUGUGAGUGAGUCCUGCUAGCUCCCCGCAGCGGGGAGGCGACCUCUGCUGACCACAGCUUUAGAUAAUUGCCUGGACCAGUUUCUAUCCCCCUGAAAAGUCCAUCCUGAAGUGCAGAGCAAACUGUCAACUACUUGAAGCUGAAGAGGCCAGCAACCUGGAAACGCCAACAGGUGUCGAUACAAAAAGUCUCGCCUAAAGAGCCUCUCUACGGAAAGGAUCGGGAAAUGGUGGGACAGAAACCUCCGCCGUCCAACCACGGGAGAAACGUGGCCCGGUCCCACCAGGAGUCAGCAAAUAAAGAACACUGACUUUUACCUUUGUAAGAUCAGCCGUGUCUGAGAAUCCCUGUGGGAUGGCCUCAUGGGGAGCACAUGGAUCAUGAACUUCUGUCUGCACCUGGCAGUAAGAAACCACAUAAGCACGCAGGGCAUGAGAACUUUCAACAGGAAGCAGGAGCUUCUCCCUCAGGAAGUCAGGCAGUAAAUCUGGGUUUCUACCUCCUUCUGCAGUGAGCUACCUCAUCCUCCUCCUUCCUGAGCCAGAAUAGCUUCAAUGAAACCAUCUGAAAUAGAGGUGUAUCAGCUUAAUCAAUGGCUGAAUAAGUAGCAGUACUCCUACAUUAAAAAUAAAUAAAUAAAAUAGAGGUGUAUGAUGGCAUGCCUCGGGGUGAAGGUGCUUAUACACAUGGCUCGAUCUCCAGCAUUGCAUAAGAUUCCCUGAACACUACUAGGAGUGAUCCCUGAGCACAAUCAGGUGUGGCCCACAGUAAAAAAGAACUUCUAUGGUAUACUACAUACACUGUACUGGAGUGUAUCCCAAGACCACCUGGUGUCCAGGUUUCAUACCACUCAAAAUAGCAAAAGCCUGGAAGGUCUUAUAUUGACUGGAAAAAAAAAUCAAAUGAUGCUUACACCAAGAUGACAGGGAUGUUAGAGUUAAUCAGAUUAAAAGCAGCCAUAAUUUUCUUUUUUAAUGCUUCAGUGAGAAGUUGUGAAUCCGCAUAAAGCAUGAAAAUACAACAACUUCAGUCUCCGCCAAUACACAUGAGCUAUAAAUCAGAACCAAAUGGAAAUUAGAAAAACUGAAAAUACAGUAACCGAAAUUGAAAUCUCUCUGAAUGGUCUCAACAAUUGAAUUCAGGAGACAGAGUAAAGAAUCAAAGAGCUGGUGCCAGAGUGGUUAGGACAUUUGCCUUGCAUGUGGCAGACUCAGGUUUGGUCCCUGGAAUUCCAUAUGGUCCCGUGAGUACUGCCAAGAGUAAUUCCUGAGUGUAGAGCCAGGAGUAACCCCUGAGAAUUCCAGGUGUGGACCAGUAUCUAGAACAAUAGAAAAAAACCCAAUUAUAACAAAGAAAAGCUACCUGGGAGAUGAAUGGGGUGGGGGCAAAGAAGGUCUCCCAAAGAAUAGUUACUUCCUAAUCUCCAGGACCUAUGAGUGUAUUAUAAAAGGUAGCACUGUAGCACUGUCUUCCCAUUGUUCAUCUAUUUGCUCGAGUGGGCACCAGUAACGUCUCCAUUGUGGGACUUGUUACUGUUUUUGGCAUAUUGAAUAUGCCAUGGGUAGCUUGCUAGGCUCUGCUGUGCGGGCAGGAUACUCUUGGUAACUUGCCAGGCUCUCCAAGAGGGACAGAGGAAUUGAACCCGGGUCAGCUGUGUGCAAGGCAAACGCCCUACCCUAUGCUAUUGCUCUAGUCCAUUACAAAAAAUAACUCUUACAAAUCUUCAACUUGAGUUACAUCUGACUUUGGUUACAGCCAUUACAAAUGGGAAAUGUUUUAAAUGGAAAAUGCAUUUUAUACACCAAACCAAACUUCAUUGCUUGCCUAGACUACCAUAAAACUUUCUCAAAACAUUUAUAUUAGCUAUAUGGAAGCCUGACAAAAAUCAUCUAACAAGUAGAUAAAAAUCAUUUAUUUCUAGUAAAGUGUAAAUAACGGAUGUAAUAAUUUACCGAAGAGCUCAGUUGAGAGGCCUUCCGCACUGCAUCUCAAAGCAAAAAGUUUCUGAAGAAAUCGAACUGUAAGGGAAUAAAUCUAGCAGAUUUGAAAAAGUGUUUCAGUAUGCUCAGUAUGGAAAAACUUAUGAAUCUUAAGAAAAAAAGAAGGAAUUUAGGGUAUUGCAGGGAAGAAAAAAUCAGCCUGCCCAUGAGGAAAAUGGAGUAAAUUUGACUGAUAAUGCAAACCUUGAUGAACAGCAGGGACGGGGUGUAGGAGAAAAAUCCUAUGAAUGUGAUAACUGGGCAGACAUUCAGACAGCACUUCCGCCUCUUCGGACAUCAGAGGAUUCCUACUGGAGAGAGGCCUUGCAAAUGUGGAAAAACUUUCAGCAGGGAAACUGUACUCAUUCAACACAAAAUAAUACACAUGGGAGAAAGAACAUAAACGUUAAUGAGUAGUGAGUGUGACAAAGCCUUUGGCCAGUGUCCAUCUCUUAACAGAAAUUCCACAUGGGAGAGAAAAAAUUACCACUGUAAUAAAUGUGGCAAAGCCAUUAGCCAGAAAGCAGGCCUUUUCUACCACCUCAAGAUCCACAUGAAGAUGCAAAAACCUAAUUGUACUCAGGGUAAUAAAAGUUUUAGCUGGCAUUCACUACUUCUUCAAAUAACGAAGCUCAUGCUGGGGAACAGCCUGUGAGUGUACUGAGUGUGGAGAUGCCUUCAUUAGCCCUUGCUUCCCAUCAGCAGAUCCAUCACAAAGAAAAAUGUUAUCCGUGUAAGGAAUGUGGAACAUCCUUCAGUCAGAGCGGUCUUGCGCAGCAUCAGAGAAUACACAAUAGAAAGAAACCCAACUGUGAUUCCUGUGGAAAGUCUUUAUUCAGAGGACAAAUUUUAUGGAACAUCAGCACAUUCACAUUAAAGAGAGACCCUGUAAAUGUGAAAAGUGUGGGAAGGCUUUCAACAGUCACUCCUGAGGGAACGCCAGAGAAUCCUCACUGGAGAGAGGCUCUACAAGUGUAAUGGGUGCGGGAAUGCUUUGGGGGGGGGGCGGUUACUGGCCUCAUCCAGCAUCAGAGAUCCACAGUGAGGCGAAAUCUCACUAAUGUGAUGAAUGUGGAAGAGCCUUAGGAAAUGCCAGAGAAUCCACAAUAGAGGUAGUUCCUAGAAGUAUAAAGAGUAUGGGAGUCAGCAGGAAACACUCAACUCUGAAUGUCAGACUAUCCACAAGGCAGAAUAGUCUGUUUCUGUCUGGCUACAGGAAGCUAUGUCACAGGGUACAGGCUGGAGAGAAUUACUAGCUUUGAAAUGACUGAAGGCAAACUUCCUGCCAACUUUCUAAAGGAAACUUCAUAAAAGAUGUACCAUGUGCGAUCCACUAUAUUAGGUUCUGAGAAGAGCCUAAUAUUUGACUCCUUUGUGGAGUUUAAACCCAGUGUGGGAUGUCAGAUCUGCAUCUUUGGUUACCUCAGAUUAUAGGACAGAGAAUGGAUAUUCAGAAUCAUAGGACGAAGGUGGCAUUUGGCAAGCAGUAUGUGCUAUGAAUUGUUGGUAUUUUUUGGUUUGUGGGCCGUAAAGUGCCCAGGAACUACUCCCCAGCUUGGUCCUUAGGGAUGCUACGCCGGGAGGGAGGCAGUUGUAGUUGCAAAGCAUGCUCUCACACUGAGCAUCUUUCUGGCCCUGUGCUAUGACAUCUAAAGGACAGAUAACUGACAUGCUGCCAAAGAUGAGGAGAAAAGAGGGGAAGGGGAAACAUUCUAGGGUUAAAUCACGUAAGCAGAGGUAAGAUCAGUUGGAAGCCCCGGGGAUAAAACUAACUGAUCGAACGUAGAGCCCAUUCAAACUGGGCAGUUCACAGCACUGAGAUGGAAAUGGGUUGGGGAUGGGGUAAACAGCGAGAGGGCUAGAAAGCCGGUACUUUAAUCUAGUACUAUAUAUAUAAUGGGCUAGAGUGAUAGCACAGCGGGUAGGGCCUUUGCCUUGCAUGUGGCCAACCCGGGUUGGAUUCCUCGCCCCUCUCGGAGAGCCCGGCAAGCUACUGAGAGUAUCUCGCCCUCAUGGCAGAGUCUGGCAAGCUACCCAUGGCGUAUUCGAUAUGCCAAAAACAGUAAUAACAAGUCUCACAAUGGAGACGUUACUGGUGCCCCCUUGAGCAAAUUGAUAAAAAAUGGGAGGACAGUGCUACUAUAUACAACACUUUAAUAUUUACAAAGUGUUUAUUAAAAUAUUUAAAAUACUUCUAAGUUAGGAUUAUUCUUCAUCUAAAAGUGGUUAUCUUCCUUCUGGAGAUGGUAACAAGUUAUAAUCUCAUAUGUAGGAAAAGACAAGCAAUUUAGCACUGGCCUCUUCAGUCCAUCUGUUACUCUAGUGGGUCCUCAGCUUCAGGGAACUUUAGAAACACCUGCCCAGUAGAGCGUGUUGUAAGUGCCCGAAUCCCACCCAGAUGUUGUGCUCCUUCAGUCAGAGCUGAGGCUGAGAAUCUUCCAUCUGGAUAGCUCCAUUAGAGGAAGCUUGCAUGAGUCACAACGGCCGUGUCUGUGGGGGUCUGAAAUGAGGGAUUGCAGACUCAGAUACAGGGAACAGGGACCACCAGCUCAUUGGAAUGACCUGGGAUUUUUUCCUUCCCACACGUGAUUUAAACACUGUGAUUUACUAAGUUGUUCGUGAUGAUUUGUUACAGGCAUUCAUGAUCCAUCUCACCCAACAUUCAUCCCGCCACCGCUGUUAUGACCUGGAAAUUAAACAUCAAGUCUCAAAAGGAGGACCUCAGACUGGCUCCCCUUCCUUCAAACUUACAUGUUUGGAAAUAAGAGAAAUAGGAGACCUCUAAGUACUAGGUCACUUGGCUAGCACGAUGAAGGCCUGAACGCUAUCUGGCAUCACACACACACACACACACACACACACACACACACACACACACACGAGACUUAAGGGUUCAAGGGUCCCAUGGGUCUUUUUGAGAGUGUAUAUGUUAUACAAGGUUUUCUGGUGCUCCUCUGUUUCAUUUUGUUGUUGUUUUGGAGCCACUCCUGGUGGGGCUCAGGGACCAUAGGAGAUGCCAGGGAUUGAACCCAGGUCAGCUGCGAGCAAGGCAAGCUCCCUACCCACUAUGCUAUCACUCUGACCCUGUUUCAUUCUUCCCUUCUCUUUAGUCUUAUAGUUGUUUUCAGAAUUUUCUAAUACUUGCUCUUAAGAACUUGUUUACAACUCUUUGGUUUGUAUAUACACUACUUAGUACAUAAAAGAGCCAGAGAUCUGUCAUUCUGUCCCUUGGAACUUCUAAAAAAACUAGAUCAACAACUGGUUGCCUUAACAAUUUUGUUUUGGAUGAGGAUCUGGUGUUUGCAAUGGCUAGUAGGUAACUCCUGUAGAAGUAUACUUGACUACUGGUCUGUUUAUCAUUCUCAGUACAAAAGUAUUUUAAUCAAUACUGUGAUGUCUUUCCUUUUUAAACAUUUCUUUUAUUCUUUUUUUUUUUUUAAUGGAAUUACCAUGAGGAAAGUUACAAAGCUUUCAGGUUUGUAAUUUAGGGUGAG